rnacentral:lncRNA from 1 species
UGAGAUUGAACUAAUUCAAUCAAAAUCUAAAAGUAGUGUUACUUAUCCAAAUCGAAUCUACACUAUGAUAGUACAAAUAUCCAAGGACUCAGCAGAAAUAGUUUAAACUAGGCUGAAACCAAAAUAACACAUGAAAGUCCAAUAUAACCCCAAUACAAAUUGUAAUGUCUAUGGCAUGAAUAAAUACAAUGAAUCAAGUAAUAGAACAUAAUUUAAUAUAGAACAAGUAUAAUUUUUCAAUAACACAACUUGAUAUUCAGCUAACUAAAGUUUACAUCUCCCAUCAUGCUUCAGAUUCAAGCUUCACACAUCAAUAAAGUCCAAAGAUGUAUUUGGAUAUCAAAGUAAACCAAAAGAAAAUGAAGAUUUCAGCAGUAGCAGCUGAUCGAAUGAAUCAGCAGGCCAAACACAGCAAGGUUCAAGCUCCCUUAGACCAUUUGUGACCCAGACAACAGAAAUUCUUUAAAAUUUUGGAAAUUCUGACUAACUAUGAAGAUCAAGAGCAAGACCAAAGCAAAUUUCAACCAAAAAAAUACAGAAAAUGUUCAGUAUUUUUAGAGUAUCAAAACUUGCCUGAAAAAUGAAUGAAAGAGGUCCUUAAAUAAGUAGCCUAAGGCAGACCUAGUACAACUAACCAAUUCCCUUUCUACCCUUUCUUUCUUGGUUAUUUUACCCAUUUUAUCCCUUUAAAAAUAUUUGAAACCCUUGCCCUUAACAAACCAGCUCUCAUCUUAUACUCUAGAACCUUCUAUGCUAAUAGAAAAUGAUUCCCUCAAGCCUCAAAUCCCUAAAUUGGCCCUUGACACCCUGUAUUUACCUUCAGAGUGCCAAGUUGGGUCAUGUUAAUCCAAGACCCCAAAUGAACGGGUCUCUUAACUGGGUCAGUGAUGACCAAAGUUAAUACAAGAGACCAAACCAUCACAAAUGAUGAAACAAAGAAGCUCAGAUUCAGAAGAAAAAAAAAAGAUAAACAAUAUUUCAGAACUUUACGAUUAAACCUGACUUAACUACUUAACUAAAAUGAAAUUCACCAUUAAAGAAGACAAGACAAAAUAAUGAAGCAAAUAAAAAAGAAGACCAGGAAAAUGUUGUAAUGAACAGGGUCAUGAGAAAAAAAACGGAAAAGUACCAAUUAUGCCGAAAUGACUUGACCAUUUGAGACGACUCGAUAAGCAGUGAAGGGAGUCGAGGAUUGGUCAUAAUCCAAUGAGUUUGCCAAAAUCUAUCGUACUCGGAAUGAGCUAAAACCAACGCCAAUCGAUUGCUCAUGUUAAGAUCAAUCGACUAAUGUAAGUUAUAGGUCAAAGCAAGCCGGAACUCCCCGCGAAUUUAGAAAAAUAGAAUAACCUAGGGUUUGAACUUCCUAGAUUUGGAAUUAGGGAAAUUGUGAUGGGAUUUUUGGGAAAUAGGUGUUGGGGAUAGGAUUUAGAAGGGCCUGAGGGUGCAUGGUACGAAUUUGGGAUGGUUUGGAGCCGCCGCCGGCGGAUGGCUUGGGAAUUCCAAGGAGGCGGGUUUAGGAUUCAUAAAGAAGCUCUGAGUGAGAAGAUGAAUGAGGGGGCGAUUUGGGGAGGUAGGGUUACUUCCGACAUUUAAAUAUAAGUGAUCUCCCAGUUCUUAGCCGUUCGAUGAGUAAAAAUCAAUAGUUGGGAUAAAAA